UACGGAGGGAGCUAGCGUUGUUCGGAAUUACUGGGCGUAAAGCGCACGUAGGCGGCUUUGUAAGUAAGAGGUGAAAGCCUGGAGCUCAACUCCAGAACUGCCUUUUAGACUGCAUCGCUUGAAUCCAGGAGAGGUGAGUGGAAUUCCGAGUGUAGAGGUGAAAUUCGUAGAUAUUCGGAAGAACACCAGUGGCGAAGGCGGCUCACUGGACUGGUAUUGACGCUGAGGUGCGAAAGCGUGGGGAGCAAACAGG
rnacentral:rRNA from 1 species